CGGGGGGGAGCAAGCGUUGUUCGGAUUUACUGGGCGUAAAGGGCGCGUAGGCGGCCACCGCAAGUCGACUGUGAAAUCUCCGGGCUUAACCCGGAAAGGUCAGCCGAUACUGCGGGGCUAGAGUGCAGAAGAGGCAACUGGAAUUCUCGGUGUAGCGGUGAAAUGCGUAGAUAUCGAGAGGAACACCUGCGGCGAAGGCGGGUUGCUGGGCUGACACUGACGCUGAAGCGCGAAAGCUAGGGGAGCGAACGGGAUUAGAUACCCCGGUAGUCCUAGCCUUAAACGGUGAAUGCUUGGUGUCUGGGGUUUUAUAGUCCCCGGGUGCCGUCGCUAACGCUUUAAGCAUUCCGCCUGGGGAGUACGGUCGCAAGACUG
rnacentral:rRNA from 1 species